rnacentral:rRNA from 1 species
UACGUAGGGUGCAAGCGUUAAUCGGAAUUACUGGGCGUAAAGCGUGCGCAGGCGGUGAUGUAAGACAGAUGUGAAAUCCCCGGGCUCAACUUGGGAACUGCAUUUGUGACUGCAUCGCUGGAGUGCGGCAGAGGGGGAUGGAAUUCCGCGUGUAGCAGUGAAAUGCGUAGAUAUGCGGAGGAACACCAAUGGCGAAGGCAAUCCCCUGGGCCUGCACUGACGCUCAUGCACGAAAGCGUGGGGAGCAAACAGG